UAAAACUCCUUACCUAUCAUGUCCUUCCCUGUUCAAAAUUUUCUUACAACGUGUUUUGACCUGCCUUAUCUUACCAUGCCCCGUUUAAGUAUUGCCAUGCCCUAUUGCCAUCCCAAUACAUGAGGUUUAACAAAUAUACCCAAAAUUUAACAAACAAAAAUACCGAAGCCUUCUCUUUAAUUUCUCUCUAAGAUGAAUUAGUACCAAAUAAAGAGGGAGUGGAGAUGCGUUUAUUUGUAUUUUAUGAGCUUCCAAAAUGAGUUCUAUGCCACUGGAAAAAUAGCAAGUUAAGAAGAUUUUUUUUGGCAAAAACCAUGAUCUGAUUCACUGCAUUUUGAUUUAUACACUCUCUCAACCAUCAUAUUGGGCUGGUGCCUCUUUUGAUUUGUACUAGCUAUUAUUUUGGGCAAAAACCUCAAGAGCAGGCAGAUCGAAUUGAGUCCUGACACCCACAACCACCAAUUACAUGUACACAAACUCAUACAGUAAUCAAGAUUCUCUUCUUUAAUUAAUCUAGAAAAUGGAGAAAUCAAAGAGCUUGCAAUCAAAUGCACACACCAUAUAUAAAUAGUCAUAUCUUAAAACGUGAAGAAUUUGAAAGUGUACUACAAUAUAUAAUAGGAUGAUUAUCCCAAGGCACAAGCAUCAAAAGUCCGAUUAAGGGCUAACGAUCAAGUGAAUGGCAGCCCAUUUUAAUUCUAUAGAGCCAACUUAACUUUUAUUUCCUAAUAUCCCAAAAUUCUAAAUCUGAGAAGCUAGAAUAAGCGUACUCGUAUAAACUUUAAGAAACAGUUAACAUAUGAAUACUUACCUGCAAGCAUAAGGUCAAAUAUUGGAGAGAAAUCACGAACAGGAAACCCUACGUUCUCGGAUGAAAGACGAAAGUGAGAGUAAAGUAGCUAUUCGUUUGUGUAAAAAUAGUCAUGUAUAAUUUUCUUAUUUAUUGUCCCGCUGGUUUGAGAUCAAAUACCACAUAUAAGCAGUUGUCCCUUUGUUUUUAACCUUAUUUAACCUGAUGAAAUCAAUGUUCAAGAACCGAUUCAGAAGAGCAAAUAGUAAUGAAUAAAUGAAUUUAAC
rnacentral:lncRNA from 1 species